rnacentral:rRNA from 1 species
CAGCAGCCGCGGGAAUACGAAGGGGGCUAGCGUUGCUCGGAAUGACUGGGCGUAAAGGGCGCGUAGGCGGCGAUCAAAGUCAGGCGUGAAAUUCCUGGGCUCAACCUGGGGGCUGCGUUUGAUACUUGAUUGCUAGAGUGGGGAAGAGGGUCGUGGAAUUCCCAGUGUAGAGGUGAAAUUCGUAGAUAUUGGGAAGAACACCGGUGGCGAAGGCGGCGACCUGGUCCUUGACUGACGCUGAGGCGCGAAAGCGUGGGGAGCAAACAGGAUUAGAUACCCCUGUAGUCCCUGUCUCUUAUAC